AACGCUGGCGGCAUGCCUAACACAUGCAAGUCGAACGGGGGUAGCAAUACCCUAGUGGCGAACGGGUGAGUAACACAUAAGCAAUCUGCCCUUCACAGGGGGAUAACAGCGGGAAACUGCUGCUAAUACCGCAUAAGACCACGGUACCGCAUGGUACAGGGGUAAAAACGAAUCAGUGGUGAAGGAUGAGCUUAUGUCCCAUUAGCUAGUUGGUGAGAUAACAGCCCACCAAGGCGACGAUGGGUAGCCGACCUGAGAGGGUGAUCGGCCACACUGGAACUGAGACACGGUCCAGACUCCUACGGGAGGCAGCAGUGGGGAAUAUUGGGCAAUGGAGGAAACUCCUUACCCAGCAAUGCCGCGUGAGUGAAGAAGGUCUUCGGAUUGUAAAGCUCUUUGAUUGGGGACGAAGAAAGUGACGGUACCCAAAGAACAAGCCCCGGCUAACUACGUGCCAGCAGCAGC
rnacentral:rRNA from 1 species